rnacentral:lncRNA from 1 species
CCUAUUACAGGACCACAGAGAAUCACCUAGCUUAGUAGUGAUGUCCAGGUCCUAUUACAGGACCACAGAGAAUCACCUAGCUUAGUAGUGAUGUCCAGGUCCUAUUACAGGACCACAGAGAAUCACCUAGCUUAGUAGUGAUGUCCAUGUCCUAUUACAGGACCACAGAGAAUCACCUAGCUUAGUAGUGAUGUCCAGGUCCUAUUACAGGACCACAGAGAAUCACCUAGCUUAGUAGUGAUGUCCAGGUCCUAUUACACGACCACAGAGAAUCACCUUGCUUAGUAGUGAUGUCCAGGUCCUAUUACAGGACCACAGAGAAUCACCUAGCUUAGUAGUGAUGUCCUGGUCCUAUUACAGGACCACAGAGAAUCACCUAGCUUAUUAGUGAUGUCCAGGUCCUAUUACAGGACCACAGAGAAUCACCUUGCUUAGUAGUGAUGUCCAGGUCCUAUUACACGACCACAGAGAAUCACCUUGCUUAGUAGUGAUGUCCAGGUCCUAUUACAGGACCACAGAGAAUCACCUAGCUUAGUAGUGAUGUCCUGGUCCUAUUACAGGACCACAGAGAAUCACCUAGCUUAGUAGUGAUGUCCUGGUCCUAUUACAGGGCCACAGACAAUCACCUAGCUUUGUAGUGAUGUCCAGGUCCUAUUACAGGACCACAGAGAAUCACCUAGCUUAGUAGUGAUGUCCUGGUCCUAUUACAGGACCACAGAGAAUCACCUAGCUUAGUAGUGAUGUCCAGGUCCUAUUACAGGACCACAGAGAAUCACCUAGCUUAGUAGUGAUGUCCUGGUCUUAUUACAGGACCACAGAGAAUCACCUAGCUUAGUAGUGAUGUCCAGGUCCUAUUACAGGACCACAGAGAAUCACCUAGCUUAGUAGUGAUGUCCAGGUCCUAUUACAGGACCACAGAGAAUCACCUAGCUUAGUAGUGAUGUCCAGGUCCUAUUACAGGACCACAGAGAAUCACCUAGCAUAGUAGUGAUGUCCAGGUCCUAUUACAGGACCACAGAGAAUCACCUAGCUUAGUAGUGAUGUCCAGGUCCUAUUACAGGACCACAGAGAAUCACCUAGCUUAGUAGUGAGUAGUGACUCACUCUCUCUAAACUGGGAAUAAAACCUUAUGUGACCAACGCAUCUCUUCAUGACUCAUAUCUGGGUUGGGGUCAAUUCCAUGUAAAUUCCAGUCAAUAUAGGAAGUGAACUGAAAUUCCAAUUCCAAUUAUCUUUAAUGCUUUUCAAUUAGGAACAUUUGGAAUUAGGAAUUUUGGUUUACUUUCUAAAUUGACUGGAAUUGAAAUGGAAACAACCCCAACCCUGACUCACAAAAAAAAAGAUAUAUAUAUACCUGUACCGUUAUACCUACAUAGGUGCAGUUAGCGAAGAAGGGAGGCCUACCUGAACUCUGACCUCCACAGAAACCUAUAGAUUCAAAGCCAUAUACUUUAGAGCACACAGCUCAUCAUCAUACGCUAGCUUUAAAUGUGUUGAUAAUCCCUUACAUUCUUUUCUAUGACAAAUGUAACAUUGUCCCUUUGUCUCUUUCAAGGGUUCUUAAUGGUCACAUGAUAGGAGCAUAGAGCAGACCGUGGCUCAUAUCCACAGAGUCUCAGAGUAGGAGCACUGAUAUAAGAUCAGUUUGGCCUUUUAUGUCAUGAUGAAUAUAUUAUCUAAAUUACAGGGGGGCACACGUUCCUAAAUCAGCAGUCCAACUCCGAGACGCUAUUUUAAUACGGGCAAAGAGCAGAGGCCCAUGCCUCACUGAACCCGGUUUACACUGACUUGAAGUCAGCUCAGCUCAGCACAGCGAAGAAUGAGAUCACUCAAACCAAGAUCUUUGGAGCGGAACCAACGGCUGUUAGGCUAUUCAAAUGAAUUAACAAACGACCUUCAAUUAAAACAGAUCAGACAAGGAGGGCAUUUAUCAAUUCAAUAGGCACUCUCAGAAAUGUGGCCUCCCUCCAGUCCGUCAUUCUUCGAUGCCUGCACGGCACCAGUCACAGACAGACAGACGGAAAGACAGAUUGACAGACAGGUGGCCAGACAUUCUUAUUUCAGUGUGGAGUGAGCUGAGGUCAGUAUGUUUCCUGAAGCCUUUAGAAGACUGUUGUUGACCUCUGUUGAAUGCAGGAAAUGGGCCGUGGGGAGAAAGGAGUCUGGCAUUACCCCAACAAUCAGAGGCAGAGGAUCUCUCUUUCGGCUGCUGCUGACGACAACAGCAUGAACCAGCCAGGCAACAACCCAUAGUCUACUGUACUGUUCCAUAAAGAAGUCAGCCGGAAAUGGUACCAUGAAUGACGAAGGCCAUCGUUCAAACAAAGAUGCCUCCCUGGCCACCUGUGCAUAUUUCCAAACUAUGUUUACAUAUAAUGACAAUACAAUCUCACAACUA